rnacentral:rRNA from 1 species
AGGAUGAACGCUGGCGGCGUGCUUAACACAUGCAAGUCGAACGAUGAAGCCGGAGCUUGCUCUGGUGGAUUAGUGGCGAACGGGUGAGUAACACGUGAGUAACCUGCCCUUGACUCUGGGAUAAGCGUUGGAAACGACGUCUAAUACCGGAUACGACGCGCGAAGGCAUCUUCUGCGCGUGGAAAGAAUUUCGGUCAAGGAUGGACUCGCGGCCUAUCAGCUAGUGGUGAGGUAAUGGCCCACCAAGGCGACGACGGGUAGCCGGCCUGAGAGGGUGACCGGCCACACUGGGACUGAGACACGGCCCAGACUCCGUACGGAGGCAGCAGUGGGAGUAGUUGGACAAGUGGGACGAAAGCCUGAUCCAGCAACCGCCGCGUGAGGGAUGGACCGGCGUUCGGUUAGUAAACCUCUUUACAGCGACCGACGAAGCGAAGAGUGACGGUAGGCGACGAAGAAGAAGCGACCGGACCAACGUACG